rnacentral:lncRNA from 1 species
UACAAGUUGAGAUGUUGUAUAUGAUUUGGAAGAAAGGCGGGCAAAGUUGUAACUAGAAUUUUUUGGUGGGGGCACAAUUUUUUUUGUCAUAGUGUUGAGUUGGAAGAGACUUUUAACAAUAACCUUUUUCUAAAAACACAAAUUUAAAAAAUCGAAAAUUAUAACAUAUAAUUUUCUUUUCUGACAGGAAAUAAUUUUAUAUUGUGAUAAUUUCGUAAAAGUGGGAGGCAAAUGGCCCCUAUGGUUCUGGGGCCAUUGAAGAGAGAUCAUUAUAUUAAGAUAUAAAGUAAUAAAGAAGAACCAGCACGAGCACAAUCUUAAAGAUAGCCGAUUAAAAAGAUUUUAUUUUUAUUUAGCUUGUUUUAUGCUAAAAUUCUAAGCUAAAACAAUAUACUAUAUACAUAUAAUAGGUAGGUUUCUAUUAUAAAACCUCCUGGUAUACAAUUUUUUUUGUUGUAUUCUGUACAUUUGAUGUAAAUAUAAUCAAACCUGCACCCCCUCUUGACACUCUUGAAAAUCCAAGAUAUAAUUCACCAUGGGAAAAUACUAAUUUUGCUUGCCAUGUUCCUUCUUCAACCAUAAUGAAGAUUGUAGAUACAUACUAAAGUAAACUUGUUAAUUCUCUUUUUCCUUCAUUAAACUGAUUCCAUUUUUUAUUUGUAUUCAUUAUACGUUCUCCCUUUAUCCGUUACAACAAUCUUUCGUUUUUUAAAUUUUGAAUUUUUUUUAUGAAUUUUCGAAUCUACAGCCCAUACCUUUAAAAA